UGCAGUCGAGCGGAACGAUCCUAGCUUGCUAGGAGGCGUCGAGCGGCGGACGGGUGAGUAAUGCAUAGGAAUCUGCCCGAUAGUGGGGGAUAACCUGAGGAAACUCAGGCUAAUACCGCAUACGUCCUACGGGAGAAAGCAGGGGCUCUUCGGACCUUGCGCUAUCGGAUGAGCUUAUGUCGGAUUAGCUGGUUGGUGAGGUAACGGCUCACCAAGGCGACGAUCCGUAGCUGGUCUGAGAGGAUGAUCAGCCACAUCGGGACUGAGACACGGCCCGAACUCCUACGGGAGGCAGCAGUGGGGAAUAUUGGACAAUGGGGGCAACCCUGAUCCAGCCAUGCCGCGUGUGUGAAGAAGGCCCUCGGGUUGUAAAGCACUUUCAGUGAGGAAGAAGGCUUGUCGGUUAAUACCCGGCAAGGGAGACAUCACUCACAGAAGAAGCACCGGCUAACUCCGUGCCAGCAGCCGCGGUAAUACGGAGGGUGCGAGCGUUAAUCGGAAUUACUGGGCGUAAAGCGUGCGUAGGCGGCUUGAUAAGCCGGUUGUGAAAGCCCCGGGCUCAACCUGGGAACGGCAUCCGGAACUGUCAGGCUAGAGUGCAGGAGAGGAAGGUAGAAUUCCCGGUGUAGCGGUGAAAUGCGUAGAGAUCGGGAGGAAUACCAGUGGCGAAGGCGGCCUUCUGGACUGACACUGACGCUGAGGUACGAAAGCGUGGGUAGCAAACAGGAUUAGAUACCCUGGUAGUCCACGCCGUAAACGAUGUCGACUAGCCGUUGGGGUCCUCGAGACCUUUGUGGCGCAGUUAACGCACUAAGUCGACCGCCUGGGGAGUACGCCGCAAGGUUAAAACUCAAAUGAAUUGACGGGGGCCCGCACAAGCGGUGGAGCAUGUGGUUUAAUUCGAUGCAACGCGAGACCUUACCUACCCUUGAC
rnacentral:rRNA from 1 species